CGUUAGCCCCGAUUGCAGUGGAAAUCCUCUUGUUCCGGGGUUCGGAACAAGAGAUUGCAGCGAAAAGCGGGAGUAUAC
rnacentral:sRNA from 1 species